GCGAGGGAUGAGCUGUUUCUCUGGAGCAUGAUGAUGAAGAGUAUUAGAGGAGCAUUCGAAUGAAGGAGUGAUGAUGUAUAUCUUUAUGGAGUUGUGUUGUUGUGGGUGUGAAGGACCGUGGGUUUCAAGUCAAGAUGGAGCGGAGGUACGCGGAUAUCAAGGAAGAUUGCGUGGGUAUGAAGCAAGAUAGAGUUAUAAAUCGAUGAAGAUGAAGCCCUGUCAGAGCUAGU
rnacentral:misc_RNA from 1 species